CACGCCGUAAACGAUGGAUACUAGGUGUAGGAGGUAUCGACCCCUCCUGUGCCGGAGUUAACGCAAUAAGUAUCCCGCCUGGGAAGUACGAUCGCAAGAUUAAAACUCAAAGGAAUUGAC
rnacentral:rRNA from 1 species